rnacentral:rRNA from 1 species
UACGGAGGGUGCAAGCGUUAUCCGGAUUUAUUGGGCUUAAAGGGCGCGUAGGCGGGUUGGCAAGUCAGUGGUGAAAUCUUCGAGCUUAACUCGGAAACUGCCAUUGAUACUAUUUAUCUUGAAUACUCUGGAGGUAAGCGGAAUAUGUCAUGUAGCGGUGAAAUGCUUAGAUAUGACAUAGAACACCAAUUGCGAAGGCAGCUUACUACAUAGUUAUUGACACUGAGGCACGAAAGCGUGGGGAUCAAACAGG